ensembl:lncRNA
GUACGCUUUACAAACAUUCAGAGAUGAACUUACACACUUGCUUUACUUCUCUCUGGGAUAACUUCCUCGGAGAUGAAUUGCUGGAUUGCUAGUGAGCAGCGCCGUAGCUCCGCAAACGCACAUAACGCACACUGCGUAGGGCACCAAAUGGCCGGUAGGGCACCAAAAAAAAGAAGUAAACCAUAUUAAUACUAUAAAUAUCAUAUGCAUUAAUAUGGUUAAACAAUACAAAAGCAACAUAAAACAAUUUUCCCGAGAAAAGGGGUGAAUCUGCUUUGUGCCCUGUCUCCAGUCUCCUCCUGGUGCCCCCCACUCCCAGUGGUCUGUUCUAUAAUGCCUCAAUUCGGUAUUGGUAAACACCUGUUUGAACAUGGCCUCGAAACGGCAACAGGAGUCGGGAGCGGAGAAAAGAAAGAAGAAGAGGAAGCGUGAUGAAACUCAGGCGUCGCUUGCCGGGUCAAUGCUUAAAUAUGUUCAAGGAGGAUCUCAAGGACAGGAUGAACCAUCCAGUAGUAGUGCCAUCCCUGGACAUCAACCACCAGCCAUUGUAGACCCUGCAACAAUCCCUAGCCAAGAAGAACAAGAACCAUCAACCACCAGUUCAGGUCAGGUUGCAGCAACUCCACCGACUGCAUGACCUGUCAUAGAUGAAUUCUCUCACUGUCCUUCUUAUUUUGUCUCUGAGUUCAGCAUCUACAGGCUUAAAAGAGAUAAAUGUGCAGGCAGACAGGAACGCCCAGCUGGAGUGUCAGGGUCCUAAAAAAGGCAAAAUUGUCCCGUUAGAGUGGAAAAGACUCGAUCUGCUGUCGGAUGGAUAUGUCUUCUUCUACCGAGAUGGUCAUCUGCAUAAAACCUUCCAGCAUCCUAUUUUUAGAGAUGGAGUGGAACUGAGAGAUCCACAGAUGAAAAAUGGAGACAUGGCCAUCAUUUUGUACAACACCACCAUUAAAGACUCUGGGACAUAUGAGUGCCGUAUCAUCACACAAAACACAAGAGACAGUAGCAGCCCUACCUUUGAGAUCAAGCAUGAAAUCAGGCUGACAGUUGUUCCUCCAGGUCAACCAAAGAAAGUCACAGUGGUUAGAGAUGAGGAGAAUGGAAGUAAGGAUGUUGGGAAUGAGGAUGGAAGAGAAGGAGGAUUUAUUGGACUGGCAAGUGGUCUGCCAGUUUUGGUGGUGAUUCUUAUUUUUGUGUUGUCUUACAAACUAAGAAAAGCCUGUUGUGAUUAAAAAAAGAAAACAAGAUUUGACUAAGAACAAACUAUAGUCGGUAGUAUAAUUGCUGUCAUUAGUAAUAAUGCUAGCAAAUAUGCUAGCAUUUUUAUUAAGGAAACACCAGGGUGACUGAUUGCAUGUACAUGUUUAAAGAUUUGAAAAAGUAGAAACAAACAAAUGAAAGCAAACAGAGUGAGUUGUCUGGAGCGUUCAGCUCCUGGUAGGGUCUCAAUGACAAACAGGUCCCAGGUUAUAAGCUAGACUAAGAGUAAUUCAUACACUGCAGUAUUUACAAUUCACACUGUAAACGUUCAUAUUUUACUCUUAAAUUCAUUCACUAACAUGGUGUAAAAAGAAAUUCUUUACUUGUUGUUGAACUAUGAUUUAGUAAAAA